GUGAAAGUUUCGUGGUGAAAAAGCGAGCGAAAUAGCUGCCGGAGAUAUGAAUAGUCUGGUCUCUCUUCGAAUCUUAUCUGUCGGCAGUACCUCAGGUACUUGGCAAACUCGACUGAAAAAUGAAAUAAAUAAAUAAUUUAUUGUUGAAUUGACGAACGUGGCCAGCAUUAAAUUACAAGAGCUUACAAAACUUGUUGUAAAUGGCGGCUGGUGUAAAACUAUCAUGACCCACUUGGAUGUAAGAUUAAGUAGAGCAUAACUCGUAGGUAAAAUUUGAAUUAAUUACGCGAUA